GACGAACGCUGGCGGCGUGCCUAAUACAUGCAAGUAGGACGCAGUUGCGAACGGGUGAGUAACGCGUAGGUAACUGCCUAUUAGAGGGGGAUAACUAUUGGAAACGAUAGCUAAUACCGCAUACUAGUAGAUGGACCUGCGUUGUAUUAGCUAGUAGGUAGGGUAAUGGCCUACCUAGGCGACGAUACAUAGCCGACCCUGAAGGGAUGACGGCCAAACUGGGACUGGGAAAAGGCCCAAACUCCUACGGUAGGCAGCAGGAGGGAAACUUCGGAAAUGGGGGGAACCCUGACCGAGCAACGCCGCGGGAGUGAAGAAGGUUUUCGGAUCGGAAAGCGCUGUUGUUAAGGAAGCGGUACUUAACCAGAAAGGGACGGCUAACUACGUGCCAGCAGCCGCGGUAAUUC
rnacentral:rRNA from 1 species